rnacentral:RNase_P_RNA from 1 species
CGGGUUGGCCAGGCAAUCGCGUCGGGGCCUGCAAGGGCACCCGCCGAGGAAAGUCCGGGCUCCGCAGGGCAGGGUGGUGGGUAACGCCCACUCGGGGAAACCCGCAGGACAGUGCCACAGAAAACAGACCGCCGUCGGCCAUGCCGCACGGUAAGGGUGAAAAGGCGGUGUAAGAGACCACCAGCGCCCCGGGUGACCGGGGCGGCUAGGUAAACCCCACCCGGAGCAAGGCCAGACAGGACGCGACCGAGGGCUGCCCGCCCGAGCGUCCGGGUAGGCCGCUGGAGGGCGCCGGCAACGGCGUCCCGAGAUGGAUGAUUGCCGCGGCGGAUCCGGUAACGGAACCGCCGUACAAAACCCGGCUUAUCGGCCAGCCCGUCCC